UAUUGGAUGCCCUGUACAUAGUUUUUGCAGGUUUCAAUACAGAGUAUACGUAGUUUCGCAAUGUGAUAUUAAGUUCAAUUAAGUUCAAUUUCACGGAUCACUAAGUCAACUCAUUGUUGGUCAGGUCGUAUAAAAUAUUGUUUAGUACUCGAGCAGCGCGCGGCGCUAACGCAGUUUGGCCAGGACUCUUGCUAAUAUGUACAUAUGUACAGGACACCCAAUAAAGAGAUAACUAAACGUUAAACAAAUAUAAUAUUGCUAAAGUUUAAUAAUAACGAGUCAGGACCGGAUUGAAUCUGUGAAUACAGACUAAGACUCAGUAGACCACCACAAUUAAAAACGUGCUGAGUUAAUUGCCGGAGAUAAUAUGAAGACUAGAUUUUGGAGCAGCAUUAACCAUAGUACAUGACUGGAGAUUGUUGAGUGGUAUACGUAUAUAAAUACGAAAAACUGAGUGAGUCGCAUAGCUCAAAUCCGGCUCUGAUUUUUUUUAUUUUUAUAUUAUUUUUUAAAGUUUUUUCAUUUUUAUUAUUUGGUUAAUGUUUGCUCUUUAUUGGAUGCCCUGUACAUAUUUUUUUUCUAGUUCCAAUACUGAAUACGCGGUUCCACGUGUCGCCGUACUGCUACAAGUUUGAUGUGAGAAUAGUGGAAGCCCAAAUUACUUCCGUAACAGUUGGUGUUUCACGAUAGUAAUAGGAGCGCACCUGAGAAACAGGCGGACAGUUACCGAAUUCGUGGAGUUGAUGGAAGUCCUUUGGGCUUCCGGUAAAUGAUUUAAUCACACCUAUGUUUCAAUUUACAUACGAGUAAAUGGUAUUUUUUUUUUCUUUUGUUUCAUGGUUCUACGAUCCAACUAAGUACAAUUUGAUCCACUCACUCCAGUGAACUAAAUGGACGGACAGGCUGAAGUAGAGAAAGACGUAUAAAGAUUUAAGAUAAUAAAAUGUAAUAGCUUACAAAUGUACCAGGUUCAUGGAAAUAAAUAAAUUAUAAUUAAAUAAAUGCUUAUA